ACAGGUUAUAUGACAGACAGGUUUAUACCACAGACAGCUUAUAACACAGACAGGUUUAUACCACAGACAGGUUAUAUGACAGACAGGUUUAUACCACAGACAGGUUAUAUGACAGACAGGGUUAUACCACAGACCGGUUUUAUCAUAGACAGGGUUAUACUGACUGACAGUUUUAUACCACAGACAGGUUAUAUCACAGACAGGUUACACCACAGACAGGGUUAUAUCACAGACAGGUUUAUACCACAGACAGGUUUAUACCACAGACAGGUUAUAUGACAGACAGGUUUAUACCACAGACAGGUUAUAUCACAGACAGGUUUAUACCACAGACAGGUUAUAUCACAGACAGGUUCAUACCACAGACAGGGUUAUACCACAGACAGGUUAUAUGACUGACAGUUUUAUACCACAGACAGGUUUAUACCACAGACAGGUUAUAACACAGACAGGUUUAUACCACAGACAGUUUUAUACCACAGACAGGUUUAUACCACAGACAGGUUAUACCACAAACAGGUUUAUACAACAGACAGGUUAUAUCACAGACAGGUUUAUACCACAGACAGGUUAUAUCACAGACAGUUUAUACCACAGACAGGGAUAUACCACAGACCGGUUAUAUGACAGACAGGUUUACACCACAGACAGGUUAUACCACAGACAGGUUUACACCACGGGCAGGGUUAUACCACAGACAGGUUAUAUGACAGACAGGUUUAUACCACCGACAGGUCUGUUGGACUGUCAGAUAGUAAAGUUCUGACAAUGUUAUUGAUCAGUGGAUUAUAUAUUGAUUAACCCUGUGUGUGUGUGUGUGUGUGUGUGUGUGUGUGUUUCACUGUGUGUGUGUGUGUGUGUGUUUCACUGUGUGUAUGACUGUGUGUGUGUGUGUGU